rnacentral:lncRNA from 1 species
UCGAAUCUGAUGAAUCCACCUCAACAUAUGGAUUUUUCGGAUUCAAUCUGAAACUUGAUUAGGAUUCAACGUUCCUUUUGAGCUUUUGGCCUUCUAGCAUGUACCUUGACCCGACCGAAAGGUAUAGUGGGACAGAAAACUUAUUGUAAAAAUGGUGGGAAAACGGCAGGCGAAUUCCGAUUCUCACAAUUCGUUCCACUUGUUUAACGAAUCCAAAAAGUCCGAAUCCUAAAAAUCCAAAUCUAGAUUAUCAAAAGAAACGCUCCUUGUAUAUUAUACCUGUACUUCAUUAAUAA